rnacentral:rRNA from 1 species
CAGUAGCCACGGUAAUACGGAGGGUGCAAGCGUUAAUCGGAAUUACUGGGCGUAAAGCGUGCGCAGGCGGUUAUAUAAGACAGAUGUGAAAUCCCCGGGCUCAACCUGGGAACUGCAUUUGUGACUGUAUAGCUAGAGUACGGCAGAAGGGGAUGGAAUUCCGCGUGUAGCAGUGAAAUGCGUAGAUAUGCGGAGGAACACCGAUGGCGAAGGCAAUCCCCUGGGCCUGUACUGACGCUCAUGCACGAAAGCGUGGGGAGCAAACAGGAUUAGAUACCCCAGUAGUCCCUGUCUCUUAUAC